UACAUAGCAAUAAAUGCAAGAAUACAGAUUUUUACAGGCUACUAACUUGGUACAUGCACAUAUAGAAUUCCCCAUAUUAAGUUUUUUUUCUGGUGCAAUUGACUACCUAUAAACUGGUAUUUAAAAAAAAUGAAUACAUGGUAUGGUUGCCAAUGAGACAACACUCUACAAGAGACCAAAUGACGCUGAAAUUUACAGAUUUACAUUAGGUCGCCACGUGCGCACGGGCUUCAACAAUGAGUAAAACCCAUGCCGUACAGUCAACUAUAAAAGGCUCCAAAAUGACAAAUAAAAAAAAUGACAUAUGUACUAAAACAAUGAACGGAAAACAAAUAUGAUAUACAGCAAUAAAUGACAACCACUGGUUUACAGGCUCCUAAAUAAGAACAGACACAUAUAUAUAUAGAUAUAUAUACAUAAUGUGACAGGGUAAAAUCAUGUUUAAGGCGCCAAGCAUUCAUGACUUUGGAAAAUGGUGUAACGAUUGUAAUAUUCGAUUAAAGAAAAAAUAAAACAAUUAAAAAUGAGCUUUCCAAGAUUUUCUGUACUUAUAAAACGACGAGGUGGUGUGAUUACCCUCCACAAGAGACAAAAUGACACAGAAAUAAACAGAACAAUGAUCGAGAUCUUCAUUUGUACUUGUGAGAGAACGACACGGAUGCAAUCAACUGAAAACCAAGAUAUCUUAUCCUAAUCAAUUAAUAAAUCAACAUGUCUACGACAUCUUUAGAAUUUCACUCAUUUCAAGUGUUUAUUUCAUCGCAUGUUAUUUAAUGCAAAUGUGUAACUUCUUGAGAUAGCGGAUAACUGCAAGCUAUUUUCUUCUAACUAGAAUACUAAUAUAGAAACACUUGCAUGAGAAAUCUGACAAGGGCAGAAUAGCCCAUCUCCGAACCGUAACCACCAACAGAAGUUUCAUCCUUAAAGACAUUUAUGCAGCAACAUAAUAAUGAGAAAAUGUAGUAUAAUUGCCAAUGAAACAAUUAGUACAGACGAGAGUCAGAUUUUGAACUUUUGUUUGAUUUUGUAGACUGGGUAUCACAAAUCUUUUUAUCUAAAAAAACAAAUGCCUUUAGUGGGAACUCUCGAGCUGAAACCUACACUAUUCAGGCUAGCAGGGACAAUAUACUUUGUUCUUUAGUUUUGUCAUUUUUGAGCAUGGGAUCGUUAAAGAGACCGUUGUCAGUGGUUCAAAGUAUUGCUAGUCAAAGACAUAAAAUUGAGAAUGGAAAUGGAGAAUGUGUCAAAGCGACAACAACCCGACCAUAGAGCAGGCAACAGCCGAAGGCCACCAAUGGGUCUUCAAUGUAUCGAGAAACUUCCACACACGGAGGUGUCCUUUAGCCGGUCCCUUAACAAAAUGUAUAUUAUAUAUAGUUCAGUGAUAAUGGACGUCAUACUAAACUCCGAAUUAUACACAAGAAACUAAGAAUAAAAGACUCAUAGAGGCCAGAGACCCCUGACUUGGGACAGGGGCAAAUUGCGGCGGGGUUUAACAUGUUUUUCGAGAUCUCAACCCUCCAAACAUGUCUUCUCAGUUAGCGAAUGCUCCUUUUGAAUAGCGAUUGCUUUAUUUAUUCUCAGAAUUACUCUUUUCUAUUGGAAAUAGAUAUUCUACAUUAUUAGGUGUCGACUUUGAGUAAGAAAUGUAACCUUAUCCUUGGAAAUCUUAUAUAUCUUCUCAUUACUUAUUGCUUUCCUAAAGGUAGCUGACAAAACAUUAAGAUAGUUUUGCUUUAAAAAUAUCUAUUCCACUAGUUGUUGAAAAUUAUACAAGUUUGAGCCCGUUUAUAUCCAGCGGCACAUAUUACAGUGUUAUCCGGAUUCACCAUUAAACGAUUCGAGGAAAUUUCUAUUGUCAAACUAAUUUCAAAUAAUAAUAUUUAUGUUUAACAAAACUAUGAUCUGUUUGUGAAACGCGAAGGAUAUCUAAUGAUUGGUGUGUUCAUUGUUGGUCUUUAACGCCACUUUUAUCAUUAUUCGCUAUUUCAUGGCAUGUAGAGAAAAACUUGGACGCCCGGAGAGAGACACUGACCUUCGACAUGGAAUCUGUCCAUCUUUGUCAACUACGAAUGAAGUGAAACUAAGCACCAAGUGUUCAAACUCUGAAAUAAGUGCCGUAGGAGGUCAUGCAGAAUUUUUAGCAAGGAUUUUUUGGCUAGAUCAGACAAUUUAAGACCAGAAAGCAUUGCACUGAUGUAUGUCCAUUAUUAAUUUUUCAGUAGUCAAAAUUCAAUGUUAAGGGAUGUAUAAUGAAUAAUGAUAUAGUUUGUAUUUCUGUUUUCAAGAUAAAAAGUGAAGGUUAAAUGUAUGGACGACCUGAAAACCAAGACAUAUAUAAGAUUAAGGUUAUUUUUAAAUAUGUAUUUUCACUUGACAUUUGCUGUUAUUUA